UUGUUGUUUUUUUUUACCAAUGUUAUAUCUCUGAUCAUAAGCACAUCAUGUUAAAAAAAAAUUAAGAAUGUUCAAAAAUGUCAAUGCUUUCACAAAGGAUAUAUUUUUAAUUUGGAUUUUAAAUAGUGAGGUUAAUUGAGUUUGUAGGUCAGAUUUUGUAUUUGUGUUUACCACUAGAGGGAGUUGGCGAACCACUGGAGAUUGUUGCACAACAAUUUAAUAGCCCUCAACAAGAUAUUUAAGACACAUAACCACACAGUUCUAAUGUUGAGCAUCUUUGGGAAAUUAUCAGUGCAGUAGUUGAGGCCAGCUACAUUAUUUUGUGUUUUUGGAGAAACUCCACUUAGUGGUCAGGUAGAUGAACAGUCAAGAAGUAAUGAUAGGGGAGAAAACAACUGAAUAGAUCACAGGGUAAAUAUAUAGGCUAUGCAUCAGAGGCAGUACCCAAAAAUUGUACCCAAGAGUUGCAUUGCUUUAACAUAUUUUUAUUCAAGUAAAAGUAAAAAAUAGUUGAAGAAAUUACUUGAGUAAAAGGGUACAGUACCAACUGCAUAAUCUGAAUAAAUAUUUGAAAUAAUGUAAUCAGACAGAAUUUGAAAGUUAUGUUCAAAUUCUAGCAUUUUAAACAGUAAAAUGAAAACAAUCAUACACAAAUAUAAUUAUAAAAUAAAUUCAGGCAGAAGAAACAUUACAAAAUAAUUUUUUAUAUAAAAUUUAUAAAACUAAUAUUCACAGUAGGUUUUAUAUAGCCCAUUUGUGUGUGUGUAUUUUAGCCCUUGGUAAAGUUUUUCCACUGACAAUGUUUACUAUUUACCUUUAUUUGCCCCCCAAGUGGCAGAACAGGCCCAGAAGAUAAACAUUGGAACAACAAAGCUGGCAAAUAAACAAGAAAUCUCACUUUAAUAUAUGUUUCAUCCAUUUUGGCUGUUCUUUAUGCAUACAAUUGAUUCUUCAUAAUUUUAAAUUGAGAAGUUGUUUAUUCCAGUAAUUUCAUCCUAAAAGUUAAACUCCUAUAUUGAUCCACAGCAAGUGUUUAUUUCUGAUCAUUUUGAUUAUUAUUUUUUCUUCAUUUUGACUGAAUAUGAAGAAUAAAGUCAAUAUAAGUUGGUCCAACUUUUUCCCAUCCAGAUGAGAAAUGCCUAGGUAACAAACAACUAAUUUGUAAUAUCAAAUUCUGGUUAACUUUAUGACGAUUAAAAGCUCAUGGCAUCAGUCUUGAAGAAACAGAGUCAUAGAAAGCAAAUUACAAAAAAAUUGUAGCACAACAUACCCUAGUUAUCCCCCUGAAAUAAGAGAGAAAUAAGGCUCCUGUUUUUUGCAUUGAAGGGGCGUGGCUUCGUAACAAUCAAGGCUUUGACUCUGCACAGGUGAACUCCUCACAGGGCACAGCUCGAGUUCUCAGGAACACUCGUGCAAGUCAGUCUGAGGCCAAGGAGGUUUUUUUGUUUGUUUUUUUUCCCAUGUUGGAUUUUACAGAAACGUAAUUAAGUUUUCUCUACUUUGUUGAUGAGCUCCUAGAUUCUUCUGUUUACCUGAGAUGACGUGGUUGGAAGGGAUUCAGAAAUUGAGGCCAGUGCUUAUGUCUGUUUUGUUUAUCCUAACAUCUCAAGGUGCUAACUGCCGACUGGUGGUGUCUCCUGUUGGUCCCACCCUGGUGAAUGCUUUAGCUGGUACCAACGUGACUCUGGCUGUGUCCUAUAGUGGUGCCUCUGAUCCAGUGGUUACCUGGUUUAAGGGAACUCUGCCUGUGGGGACAUGGACUAUAAACACCAACUUUCCUCCAGACAUAGCCAAUGACAGCCGGAGUGUGCUCGAAAUUGAAAAGGAUGGAUCUCUUACCUUUAAAGAUGUGCCACAGCACUUUACUGGAAGUUAUACUGUUGAACUAACAAAGUCUGGACACGGAACAGUUUCAGUGACAUUCACUCUAAAUAUUUAUGAAAUGAUCCAGAAUGUGACUUUGAUCACAGCACCUUAUUUUGCCCAAGAGGGAGCUGAGCGGUUCACAUUACAAUAUAACAUGCUUCAAGGUGUUGUUGAACAAGAAAUAUGGCGCUUCAAUGGAAGAGACCUGCAAAACAGCACACACUAUUUGAUGGAGGGAACCAGCCUUGUAAUUUUUGGACCUAACCGGACAGACAAGGGAUCAUACUCUGUGACAUUGAUGAACCCCUUCAGCAGCAUGACCAUGCAUAAGAAUGUGACUGUUCUUUACGGGCCGGAUGAGCCCAUUGUGGAGGCACUGCCAAUUCAACCUUUCUACAAGGCAGGGGACUCUCUGAUUUUGACCUGCCGAGCUGAAGGAUUCCCACUGUCAAUUCCUCAGUGGAUCUUUGGGGGUCAAAUUCUUUCAGAUUUUCACCAAGGAAUCCUAAAUCUGACAAACGUGCAGACCAGUCAAGGAGGCUCUUACACGUGCUCUGUGCUCAAUGACAUGACUAAGGAGAAGCGUGAGAAGAAUGUGACUUUAAAGGUCUACGACAGGCCGCUGGGUAGUCCAAUAUGCUCUGUGGUGUCUGUGAACAAUUCUGACCUGCAGUAUCAGUGCAAGUGGGCAGGAGGAAUGCCAGAGGCCCAGUUGACUUUCCCAGCACUAAGUAAUAUAAGCAGUGGAGCUGGAACCUUCAGCCUCACUGUUACUUCCUCCGCUAACCUCCGUGACAUAACUAUCACUUGCUUAGCAGAGCAUCCAAUUGAACAAAACACCUGCAACAUUACCGCAAAAAGUCCCAGAAAUUUUCUUCCAACUGUGAAAACCUCUGUUGAUUCAGAUGGAAAAAUUGCAGUAACCAUCCGCUGUGUCAGUGAGGCAUCCCCUCAGGCUGUGGUUUCAUGGUCGCAGGGAAAUGAGUCUGUCAUCACUGGGUCAACGUACCAGAUCAGCAGUGACACUACACAGCUGAAGAUUCGCAGUUACAAUAUCAGCACUUUCCUGCUUGCGCCAAACUAUACCUGUACAUGUCGCAAUCCACUGGGCAAUCAGAGAAAGCUGCUUCAGCUGCAAGGACCGACUAUCUCAGAUUCCAGUUUGUUCCCUAAUCAAGAUGGAACCAUCAUCACAUUAACCUGGGAAGUCCCACCUACAUCUGUGGUUACAGGUUUUGACAUCCAAAUGAAAGGACCUGAUCUUCUGAGCCAUGGUGGUGAUUAUUCUGUUCCUAAGAGAAGUUCAAAAGAAUACCGCAUCAUUCAGCAGAAACCUGGGUAUGCUAGGAGUGCAGAUGUCUUUUUGCUUGAUCCUGACAUGACAUACAGGUUUCGAAUCAUUCCCAAAGCUCGGCUAACAGAUGGAGAGCCAUCUGAGGUUCACAGAAUUGGCCCAGGUGAUGGUUUGAGUGGGUCUGCCAUUGCUGGCAUUGCAGCUGGAAUCCCAUGCAGCAUUCUCACCCUGACCCUAUUAAUUGGCCUUAUUUUCCUAAUUUUCUACCACCACAAGAAAAAAAGUAAGCAACAAGACAAGAUAUCCAGUCUCCAGAGCAGUGAAAACCAUCCAGCCUAAGGCAGUUUUGAAUGGAGGGCUUAGGCCUCCUCCUGACUACAACAGUUUGCACCAGACUCCGUCUGAAAGAUCUGUGACGCUACCCAUGUUUGUCCCACCUGCCCCAGUCAGAGUUGCAACAACAGUUUAAAUGAGUAAAUCGAUGUGUAUAUUUUUGCAAAACUAACUUUUAUUUAUAUAUAUAUACACAAUAUAUUACUGAAAAGUUUUAUAUAUUUAAUUUUAACUGUAAUAACUAUUGAUAUAAUAAAAACAUUCCUUAGACUUCAGUGCGUGUGUUGGCUAAUAAUGUAAUACCAUAUAGUCAGUUUUUCUAUUCACGUAGUAAUUAAAUUUUUUUUGCAGAUAUUUAAUGCAGAAUUAGACGUUCAAGAAGGUAAAGAGCUGUAAAAGUGGCCAAUUAUUUAAGAAAGAAGAACGUUUUUUCUGUCAAAACAUCAGAUGAUGGAAAAAAUAACAUUUUAUUGUUGUCCAGAAACUCUGGAGACAGUUCAUCCUCUGGUCAAAAUAAAUAAGGACUAAUGUUUUGCUUUUUUAAUUUGUUUUAUUUUUAAAUGUCUUGGGUUGCACUGAAAAAUCUACAUUUGUUGCAUUUACUGUAAAGAAAAUUUUUCUCCUGAAAUAAUUUGACAUAAAUGUAAAUCCAGGCUAUUGUUUUUUAAAGUGCUUGAAAAUACAUUUAAAGGUAAACGGAAAAUCAGAUAUUAUUUUACUAAUUUGUAAGUUUUUGUGCUGAAGUUGAAUAAUCUGUUAAUCUUUGACCAAAUUAUAUCAAUCAGGAAUGGAGGGCCUCAAAAUUCAUCUUGCUUGCAGAAGCAUACAUUGCUGCUGAUGUUUCAUACAUUUGCGCAGCAGGUGGUGCUGUGGAGUAAUGAAUUACAUGAAUUCAUCUGAAUGUCCAGUCAGUUAGAACUGAUGAUACCUUCAACAAAC